GCGAAGAAUAGAGAGAAUGAAAACGCGUGAAUAACAAGUCAACUACACAAUUCUCACUUCCGUGGGUAAAAGACCAAUAAAUCUGAGGGAGGGGGUUUGAACCAAGAUGUUAAAUCAGAGGGAAAGGGCAAGUGCUUUGUUGGAGUCCAAGCAACCCCGCGGGAGAAAAUAUCAACGAAACCAUAAGCUUGCAAGGAACUACUGUUGCUGGUAAACAAAGUCGAACGAUCAAGGGUCGAAUAAGAGGGAAAAAGGAACGAUGACAGAAGUUGAAGAAGUGAAGGAAAGUUGCGGGGAGGAAGGAGCCGAUCGCUAGAUUUAACCAACCGUUGGACCAAAUCGACCCGCUGUACCAAACCGCACUGACCCGCCAACCGACCCUACCCGCCUAGUGACCCAAAAGUCAACACCGGCCCGAUCCGACCCAUCUAGCUGACUCCGACCCAGUACCCAAAACAAACCCGAAGGACCUAAUUGAAGAUCUUUGAAGGAAUUGAAAAUUUGUUGAAGACCCGAAACAAGUUCGAGAAGCCUACAACAAGUAACCGCAUGGAACAAGUUUCUAAGAAAUGCUUGUAGGAGUCGGUUUGGAGUAAGGGCAAACGAUCUAGUAUUAUACUUAGGAGUUUGGUUAACAUUAGUUUUAUGUGUGUUGUACUUCGAUAUCGUGAAUGAUUAUACCUUGAUAUAGUUAGGGUUAUAUAGCUUCCGCAUGCAUAAAUGUGAAAUUAUCUGAUAGGAGUUUGGGUUUAUGUGUU